UAAGUACUGUGCUAGGAUAUAAUAGUGAACAGACAAGUAAAGUCAGUGAUUACUGGGUGAUGGAUGGGUGCUGUGGAAGAAGUUCAUGCACAGGGUGGAAACCACAGACGAUUCUACUUCCAGUUAGAGACGGGAGGAGAGAACGGGAGCUAGAAGGUGUGAGUAAGGCUGGAGAUGUGGGUACAGACUGAUCAGAUUUCCUGGUAGCAAUAAGAGCAUAUAACAUCAUAAAACAGGGGAUUUCACUGCCCUGAAUCACUGCCAAACAGGGAAACUAAGGCUGAGAGGUGAUUUGAUCAAGGUCAUACAGCAAGUGGUGGAAGGACGACUAGAAUCCAGGAUUUGCAUAUCAGAGAGCAAAACCGAGAAAAGUCAGAGCGUUAGAUGGGCAGGGUAAAAAGGAGGACAAGAAUGAAUACUUGGGUAUAAUCUGCUCUUGCUGUUGGGUAAGGCAGUUCCUCUCUGAUGCCCUGCUCUCAGCAUUUGUAUUCUCUGGCAGCUCUUCAGAUGAGGAAGCUGAGACACAAUCACGGAAGAGCAAGAUUUAAAAGCCGGCAGUCUGACUCCUGAUCUCUCACUCAUCCACUACUGUAGACAGCCUUCUCUGUGUUUCAUUAGCACAUAACAAGAAUUCAUGCUCUCGGAGUACAAAGCAGGGUUUGUAAUAUCAAUAAAAGAGACACUUUCAUAGUGUUUUAGCUGAGUCUUGAGGAGAAAAGUAGAGUUUUAGUGAAGGAAGAAAGAAAGGCACUACAUGCUGAUUGUAUGUUUGAAGGCGCUGCUGUUAAGAGGUGAAGAUGCUGUUGUGGAAGAUGAAUCUGGGAUGGACUAAGGAUGGAACACUAACAUUUAAAGAAUGGAGGAAGAAAAGCAGUUGUGGAGAGUGAGAAAGACUAGAGAUAAAGCAGAAAAAAUCCUAGAGGGUUUAGUAUCAUGACCAGGAACUAGGCAUUUCAAAAAGGAAGAAACGAUCAACAGUGAUGAAUGAGAAGAGCUGGAAGGAAUGUAGAUGGAGAAAAGCCUAGAGAUUUGUUACCUAGGACACUAGUAAUGACCUCAGAGAAUGCAGAAUGGUAGAGGUGGAAGCAAAACUCAGAGGAUUAUUGAAAAAAAUGAGAAAAGUAGAAAAGUGGAAGCAGGAAGUGCAGACAUUUCCUAUACCAAUGUAGACAUAUUUGUGUUUAUAUACAUACACAUAUUCAUGUGUAUUCCUAGUUUCAAUAAUGCACAAUGUUGAGGUUAACCUUAAAAAAAGAUUAAUUUAGCAAAAGAUAGAAAAGCAGAUCUGAAAAAAGAAUGUAUUCCUUGCCAUUAUAGACUAUGCUUAAUAAGUAAUACUUAGUUUAGUAGAUUGUAGCUUGUGACAACAUGAGAAGUGCAUCCAGUAGAUUCAUAGUAGUUCUUACUGGGGUACCUGCUUAUAUUGUUGCUAGCAAACUAUUUGGGCAUGUUAUUUUUUGUAUCUGGACUAGUUCCUUAUCUGCCAAGAACUAAAUGAUUAAGUCCCAUCUAACAUUUUAGGAUGCUCUGAUCUCCUUUUGACUUAUAGAAAUCACCAAAGUUAGACAGCUAAUGACCACUCUUUUUAAUAUUUCCUCCUUCAUGACAUGGGAAAUGAUUUUUAACGCCACUUUAGCCCAAUAAUUCAGACAUCUCACAUUGUAUAUGCACGUGUGUGUUCAUUUCAGUGCUAUUCACAACAGCAAAAACACAGAAAAAACUUAGGUGCCCCUCAGUGGUGGACUGGAUAAAGAAAAUGUGGCACCUGUACACCAUGGCAUACUAUGCAGCCAUAAAAAAGAAUGAAAUCAUGCCCUUUGCAGCAACAUGGAUGCAGCUGGAAGCCAUUAUCCUAAGUGAACUAACUCAGAAAAUCAAAUACUGCAUAUUCUCACUUUUAAGUGGGAGAUAAACAUUGGGUACUCAUGGAUAUAAAGUUAAAAACAAUAGACACUGGGUUCUAGUAGAGGGUGGAGGGUGGGAGACCAGUAACGGUCGAAAAACUACCUGUUGGGUAUUAUGCUUAUUACUUGGGUGACAGGAUCAUCUAUAUACCCCAAACCUCAGCAUCACACAAUAUACUCAUGUAAUAAACCUGCACUUGUACCCCCCCGAAUCUAAAAGUCAAAAUUAUGUUUUAAAAAAGAAAAUAUCUCAGAGUCUUGUCUUCUAGAUUUUCUUCAUUUCAACAGUUUGCCUUCUAUUCUUUUUCAGUUGCUUAGAUUUAAACUUCCUCAGAGUCUCAGUGAAAAGGACGAGUUUAUUCAGCUGGAAGAAUUGAACCUUGAAAGUAUACCCUUUAACCUUAAGUUUUAAAACACUGGGUUACAAAUAAGAAUAUAAAGUUUUAUUCAUCUCUAAACAUACUAGCAAAGCAACUGAUCUUUUAAACAGAAAAUUAUCAAUCACUAAGGACGCUACCAAAAAUAGAAAUAUUUAAACAUUGUAAUCAGACACCUCUAGUGAUUUGUGAAUAUCUGGAAGUCCUACUGAACCAUCAGCUAUUUGACAUUAUGUAGAGUUAGCUUGAGUCUAGGUGACUUGUUCCUUGGAAAGGCUUAGUUAGCACGGACCUGAAGUACUUCUAGUAUGAAUUCUAUCCUAAUGUCUUUAAGAGCAUUGGGUGGAAAAGAGAUGUACCAACACACACAAUGUUCUGCACAUGGAGUCAUUAAUGAAUAAAUUGGCUGAAGCACCUAGAAAGGUUUCAAAAUGCCCAAUAUCAUCUUACUCAAGGAAAUUUGUUUCCUCGAUGGAAAGCAUGCCAAAAACAAAAAACAAAAACAAACAAACAAAAAAACUAGUAGAACAAACAAGUGGAGAAAAUAGAAAAGCGGAGAAUAGCAGAAACCUUGAGUCCCUUUAUGUUCCUUAAAAAGUUUUUGAUUAUUUUUGUUUUAAUCCAUUCAGCAAGUAUUUAUGGAGUGCCAUCUGUAUGCUAUGAUAAGCUCUAGGGUUACAUUAAUAGAUAAAACAGCCCCCUACCCCUAUCAAAAAAAAAUCCCUACUCUCAUUAGCUUCUUUUAAAUUUAUACCAUUGUUUAAUGGGAAUGAGCCCAGUUGAAUUUUUUCAGUAACAUAUUUUAAAAUAAGCUUUAUUUUCAAAAACAAUUUUAGAUUUACAAAAAAAUUGAAAAGAUAGUUCAGAGAGUUCUCAUCCACUCCACAUAGUUUUCCCUAUUGUUAUCUUUCAUUAGGAUAUAUUUGCCACAAUUAAUGUGUCAAUAUUGAUACAUUAUUUUUAACUAACACCUAUAGUUUAUUUAUAUUUUUUAUAUUUUUCAUUUGUGUCUUUUUUCUGUUCCAGGCUACCAGCCAAUCCAGAAUACCACAUUACAUUUAGUAAUCAGGUUUCUAUCACUUCUUAGGCACUUUAUACAAGUCAUUUCAUUUAGUCCUAACGAGAACCCUGUAAGCAGGGAUUAGCACAAAUGCUUCUAUUCAUGCUUUGUAAGUACUUAUUAAAUAUUUACUGAAAGAAUAAAUGAAUGCACAUCUUUUCCUGCCAUUAUUCUAGACUGUAUGCAACUUGAAAGCCCAGACCAGCUUACUUCUGUUUCUGGUCCCAGCCAUCUGCUCCCUACUAAAUGUUCAACAUAUAUUUGUUGAAUGAAUACAUUUAUUAUCUUCAUUUUACAGACAAGGAAACUAAGGCAGAGAAAGGUUAAAUAGUCAGCCUAGAUAUAUGACCAGUGAGUGGUGGGGAGUAAGUUUUGGAAUCCAGUCUCAGAGGAGGAGUUCUUGACCAUUGUAAUAAUGUGUGGCAGGUUAAAGAAGUUCACAAGUUAUUUGACAUUCCUCUCAUCUAGAGAUGGGAUCUAUGCCCCUCUCCCCUGGAAUUUGGGUCCCCUGAUCCUAACCCUAACCUUAUGACUUCUUAGAUUAACUGAAUAUAGAGGAGAUGAUAUUGUGACAGUUUGGGGCUCAGGAUUUAAAGAUUGGCUGCUUUCACUUCUUUUCUUGUUAGGAUACCUAAGCUACCAUGCAAGAAGUCAGACUGCCCCAUGAUUGGCAUGCUUGAGAGGCCUCUUGUAAGUGCUCCAG
rnacentral:lncRNA from 10 species